GUCGUACGAAGGCUUUUAGCCUUAGUGGCGGACGGGUGAGUAACACGUGAGAAUCUGCCCUUAGGAGGAGGAUAACAGCUGGAAACGGUUGCUAAUACUCCAUAUGCCGAGAGGUGAAAGGAUUUAUCUACCUAAGGAGGAGCUCGCGUCUGAUUAGCUAGUUGGUAGGGUAAUGGCCUACCAAGGCGACGAUCAGUAGCUGGUUUGAGAGGAUGAUCAGCCACACUGGGACUGAGACACGGCCCAGACUCCUACGGGAGGCAGCAGUAGGGAAUUUUCCGCAAUGGGCGAAAGCCUGACGGAGCAAUACCGCGUGAGGGAUGACGGCCUGUGGGUUGUAAACCUCUUUUCUCAAGGAAGAAGUUCUGACGGUACUUGAGGAAUAAGCAUCGGCUAACUCUGUGCCAGCAGCCGCGGUAAUACAGAGGAUGCAAGCGUUAUCCGGAAUCACUGGGCAUAAAGCGUCUGUAGGUGGUUUGGUAAGUCUGCUGUUAAAGACUGGGGCUCAACCCCAGAAAAGCAGUGGAAACUGCUAGACUUGAGUGUGGUAGAGGUAGAGGGAAUUCCUAGUGUAGCGGUGGAAUGCGCAGAUAUCAGGAGGAACACCAAUGGCGAAGGCAGGUCUCUGGGC
rnacentral:rRNA from 1 species